CGAGCGCGACAAAAUUUCGAACCGAUAAGCGGACAAUCUCCGAUAACCAUUGACAAGAACGCCAGUCUGCAGUUGCGAUCGGACGACGACAGUUGGGAAAAUCGGCGAUCAUUCGAUCAGACAUCUGUCCACUUCAAGACGAACAACAAGUGAUUAGAAAAAGCAUCGAUAAUGGCGGAAAAGCAGGAGUCAACGAAGAAAAUAAUCGAAGAAUCAAUGACCGUAACAUCGGAGAUUGUUGAUGGUCCAUCACAAAUGAGUAUCAUCGGUGGAUCCGUAGUAGAUGGCGGGGUGAAAUAUAUAAACGGAGUCCCGCACAGACAGGACCGGAAUGGAGUCUGGCGACCAGUGAUCAGUAUAGACGUAAAUGACACAUAAUUCUGACACCGAUAGCUACUCUAAAUUUUACUGUUCUGCGGAGUGGUUUAGUCAUUGACAUUUGAUGCGAGAAUUAACUCAAUCUUUGUACAACAUCUGACUAAAUAAAUACUUCGUGAACUAUUCAA